rnacentral:rRNA from 1 species
UACGUAGGUGGCAAGCGUUGUCCGGAUUUAUUGGGUUUAAAGGGUGCGUAGGCGGCAUUUUAAGUCAGUGGUGAAAUACUUCAGCUUAACUGGAGAGGUGCCAUUGAUACUGGGAUGCUUGAGUACUGAUGAGAUAGGCGGAAUGGACGGUGUAGCGGUGAAAUGCUUAGAUAUCGUCCAGAACACCGAUAGCGAAGGCAGCUUACUAAGGAGUAACUGACGCUGAGGCACGAAAGUGUGGGGAUCAAACAGG